rnacentral:rRNA from 1 species
GAUGAACGCUGGCGGCGUGCUUAACACAUGCAAGUCGAACGAUGAAGCCCAGCUUGCUGGGUGCAUUAGUUGCGAACGGGUGAGUAACACGUGAGUAACCUGCCCUUAACUCUGGGAUAAGCCUGGGAAACUGGGUCUAAUACCGGAUAGGUGCUUCCACCGCAUGGUGGGUGUUGGAAAGAUUUAUCGUUUUUGGAUGGACUAGCGGCCUAUCAGCUUGUUGGUGAGGUAAUGGUUCACCAAGGGGACGCCGGGUAGCCGGCCUGAGAGGGUGACCGGCCACACGGGGACUGAGGCACGGCGCAGACGCCUACGGGAGGCAGUAGUGGGAAAUAUUGCAGAGUGGGGGCAAGCCUGAUGCAGCGGCGCCGGGUGAGGGAUGACGGCCUUCGGGUUAUAAACAUCUUUCAGUAGAGAAGAAGCGAAAGUGACGGUACCUGCAGAAGAAGCACCGGCUAACUACGUG